AGAGAAUAGAUACCCGGGUAGUCCACGCCCUAAACGAUAGAUACUAGGCGUCGGAGGUAUCGACCCCUCCGGUGCCGCAGCCAAACGCAUUAAGUAUCCGCCUGGGGAGUACGGCCGCAAGGUUGAAACUCAAAUGAAUUGACGGGGACCCGCACAAGCGGUGGAGCAUGUGGAUUAAUUCGAUACUAACCGAAGAACCUUACCCACUCUUGACAUUGAAGGAAAGCAUUAGAGAUAGUGCCCUCUCCCACAAGGAGACCUGAAAACAGAUGUUGCAUGGCUGUCGUCAGCUCGUGCCGUGAGGUGUACGGUUAAGUCCGCCAACGAGCGCAACCCUCGUCUUGUGUUACCAGCGAGUAAAGUCGGGCACUCACAAGAGACCGCCGGUGUAAGCCGGAGGGAGGUGGGGAUGAUGUCAAGUCAGCAUGGCUCUUACGGAGUGGGGCUUCACACAUGCUACAAUGGGUCGCAACAAAGGGCCGCGAUACCGUGAGGUGGAGCAAAUCCCAAAAAU
rnacentral:rRNA from 1 species